CCUUGUACACACCGCCCGUNACACCAUGGGAGUGGGUUGCACCAGAAGUAGUUAGUCUAACCUUACGGAGGACGAUUACCACGGUGUGGUUCAUGACUGGGGGUG
rnacentral:rRNA from 1 species